UACGUAGGUGACAAGCGUUGUCCGGAUUUACUGGGCGUAAAGAGCGCGCAGGCGGUCGAUCAAGUCGAGUGUGAAAGCCCCCGGCUCAACUGGGGAGGGUCAUUCAAUACUGAUCGACUCGAAGGCAGGAGAGGGUAGUGGAAUUCCCGGUGUAGUGGUGAAAUGCGUAGAUAUCGGGAGGAACACCAGUGGCGAAGGCGACUACCUGGCCUGUUCUUGACGCUGAGGCGCGAAAGCUAGGGGAGCAAACGGGG
rnacentral:rRNA from 1 species